GUGCUUGCUUCAGCAGCACAUAUACUAAAAUUGGAAUGAUACAGAGAAGAUUAGCAUGGCCCCUGUGCCAGGCUGACAUGCUAAUUUGUGAAGCAUUCGAUUAAUUU
rnacentral:snRNA from 1 species